CCAAACAAGAAAUGUAUACACAUCACCAACCCAAUAUUUUAACUACCGGUGGAUACGUACUUAGAGUGCAAUGGAGAAGAAUGACACCGAAAAAUGAUAGGAAAGAAGGAUGAUGAACAACCCCUUGCCGACGAAUGACGCUGAAGAGGAGUACCAAAUGCACGACUCCAAUGAAAAUUGCUGGACGAUUGGGAAGAAACACAGUGAAAAUAGACCUCUCAUUUGAAUUAAGGAAGAAGAAUGAUUUUUGAUUGGGGAAGAAGAGGAGGUCUUGUGAAAUUAAGGCA
rnacentral:lncRNA from 1 species